UGCCUGCCUGUCACGCAGGAGAUCGCCGGUUCGACCCCGGUCGGGACCGCCA
rnacentral:tRNA from 1 species